AUUGAACGCUGGCGGCAGGCCUAACACAUGCAAGUCGAGCGAGCGGCGGACGGGUGCGUAAUGUAUGGGGACUGCCCGAUAGCGGGGGAUCACUACUGGAAACGGUAGCUAAUCACGCAUACUAUCGGAUAACCCAUAUGGGAUUAGCUAGUGGGUGAGGUAAUGGCUCACCUAGGCGACGAUCCCUAGCUGGUCUGAGAGGAUGAUCAGCCACACUGGGAUUGAGACACGGCCCAGACUCCUACGGAGGCAGCAGUGGGGAAUAUUGCACAAUGGGCGCAAGCCUGAUGCAGACAUGCCGCGUGAAUGAAGAAGGCCCUAGGGUUGUAAAGUACUUUCAGUCGAGAGGCGUUACCGACAGAAGAAGCACCGGCUAACUCCGUGCCAGCAGCCGCGGUAAUUC
rnacentral:rRNA from 1 species